rnacentral:tRNA from 1 species
GCCCCUGUAGCGCAAUGGAUAGCGCGUUGGACUUCUAAUCCAAAGGUCGUGGGUUCAAAUUCCCCUGGGAUG